rnacentral:rRNA from 1 species
CAGCCGCCGCGGUAAUACGUAGGUGGCAAGCGUUGUCCGGAAUCAUUGGGCGUAAAGCGCGCGCAGGCGGUCCUUUAAGUCUGAUGUGAAAUCUUGCGGCUCAACCGUAAGCGGUCAUUGGAAACUGGGGGACUUGAGUGCAGGAGAGGAAAGCGGAAUUCCAUGUGUAGCGGUGAAAUGCGUAGAGAUAUGGAGGAACACCAGUGGCGAAGGCGGCUUUCUGGCCUGUAACUGACGCUGAGGCGCGAAAGCGUGGGGAGCAAACAGGAUUAGAUACCCGGGUAGUCCACGCCGUAAACGAUGAGUGCUAAGUGUUGGAGGGGUUCCGCCCUUCAGUGCUGCAGCUAACGCAUUAAGCACUCCGCCUGGGGAGUACGGUCGCAAGACUGAAACUUAAAGGAAUUGGCGGG